GUUUCUAGAUCUUUUCUACAUAAUCCUUACUUAGGAGUAAAAGCUAAAGCUUUGGAGAUUUGCUUCUGUGAUAAAUGGAUUAUUAAAAUCUGAUGGUGUCAUAAGGCGUUCAAGUAGUCAGAGAUAAAUUGUAUUUAUGUAAAUACUGGAUAUAUUUUUUGUUUAUGUUUGAAUGGAAAUGAGACAAAAGAUGGGAUUCAUUAAGACUUCACAACACUAAAGCAAAUGGAAUUCAAAC